rnacentral:misc_RNA from 1 species
GAAAUGCGAUAAUUAAUGUGAAUUGCAGAAUUCCGUGAAUCAUCGAAUCUUUGAACGCACAUUGCGCCCUCUGGCAUUCCGGGGGGCAUGCCUGUCCGAGCGUCAUUACGCACCCUCAAGCCCGGCUUGUGUGAUGGGCCCCGGCGUCUCGUUCGCGAGACGGGCCCGAAAGGCAGCGGCGGCGUCGACCCGAUGAGCCCGAGCGUAUGGGGACUUCUGUCACACGUUCGCGGUGCGGACCGGCGCCUGCUUGACUUUUCUGAUUAUCCAGGUUGACCUCGGAUCAGGUAGGGAUACCCGCUGAACUUAAGC